UGAAUUUCAGCCUGGUCAAUAAAUGUCAUCAUUUGGAUGCAGUAUUCAUUGCCUUCCAUAAAACAACAGAACCUCACACUAAUGUGACAUUCUGAUUACAGGAAAAAAAGCACAGAAUGAUACAAAGCCAACUUGUCACACACCAAAACCCAGACACCAGUCAGUCCCACAGCAACUGCAGGAAGAGGAGCAUGGAGGUGAUGCUGUCCUGUGGCACUCUGCAGGGACCACUCCUUGCCCGUCUGCAGUGCAAUAUUUUGCUGACGGCCUGAAGAAACCAUGAGAUACUGGUGGUAAAGCAAGCAGUGAGGUGAGCCAGCAAGGAGUGCCUCACUGAGGGACACAGCCAGGUGAGUGGGAUCACGCAAUGGUUGGGAAUGAGACCCAGCAGAUCAGGGCACCGUGAGGUCCCAGGGCUGAGGCUCAACCCAAAGGCACUCAGACUGGAAUACUGGUUGGUUUGUAUUUACCACGAGGACAAUUAGCUACCAGGAGGCUUUAUCAGAGGUCUGAUGGAUACUGCUGCACUUGUUUAUUAACUUGCAUUGUCAGGAUGGAAUACUUUUCCAAUAGGCUGGCUCUGGUGCAGUAGGAGUUAACUCGGGUGCUCCUGCAGCCAUGAACACAGGUGGUCACGAGGAUCACAUCCAAAAUCACGUGGUCUCACAGCCCUCUGCAUCUGAUCGUUGCUAUUUCCAUGAACUCAUAGCAAUGGGUCUUUGGCUACUGCAGAUGUAUGUGGUCCGUGACCUCGGGGUCUGCUCAGUGCUCACUCUGGGAAAUGCUGGCAGGGGGCAGGAGGUGGGGCUGGGGGGAGCUCCGAGGACAAGGAGGAAAGGGAGGGGUUUGGCCCCCAUGGGGGUCACUUGAAGACGGAUGGGAACGUGGGGCAGUCCGGAGCCUUCACCUUCUUCAUGAACUUCUUGAACUCUUUGUUCUUCUUGUCCCACUUGUAGAUGGCUGUCAGAAGGUGUUGGGUCUUCACCUGGCGGCCCAUGAUGAGGAAGUGGUGGCCAAGGUUGUCCAGCUGGUGGCAGGGGCAGUCAGCCCCGUUCUUCAGGAGCAGCACCAACUUCUUCAGGUUCUUCUUGCGGAUGGGCCCCAGCUUCAGCGCCUUCCUCUUCCGUGGAAUGAUCACUUUGUCCCCGUUCUCCUUUUUCACCUCCUUGAUGGUCAUCUUAAGAGCAAACUCACUGGCACACAGGUGCUCAACAAUGGCCUCCGACUUCAUCUCGUUGUCACAUGGGGGACACACAGUGGUUCCUUUAGGCCUGGAGACUUCGGUGGCAUUGGGAGUUGUCAUGGCAAUGCAGACAUCAUCCUGUGGGAACUGGUCACACUUGAGCAUCUCCGGCCAGAAGAAGCCAAAGAACUGCAUGACGGGCUCACAGGAGUCACGCACAGCCUCGCAGAGCCAGCGGCACGGGUAGACCGGCCGGUCCAGGCAGACGGGGGCAAAGAGGGAGCAGAGGAAGACCUGGGUGCCCAUGUGGCAGUUCUUGUUGAGCAGCGGCACCCAGCUGCUCGCCUGGUGCUUCACCUCGGCCAUGGUCUCGUGGUCCAGCAGGUUGGGCAACACCAUCUUAUCAUAGCCCACGCUGUGACAGAGCCGCAGGUCGGCAGGGAUGGCCACGCACUGGUGGGGUUUGGUGUAGAAGCGCCCCCCAGGGUAGGGGCCCAGGUCGGACUGGUAGCUCACGUAGUCGUACUCGCUGGCCCCGCCGCACGCCAGCAGCCCCGCGGCCAGCGACAGCAGCGCCCGCAGCGCGCCCCGCACUCUGCCCAUGGCCACCCCGACGGCACCGCCCGCGGCACCGCCACUCCCCGCAGCUUCACCCGGAGCCCCUCGCGCUGUUCCCAGGGACCCCUUCCCGGGACCCCCACACGGUGCUUGGCAGCUCCUCCCGCCAAAUGCCCGCUGCUGCCCCGCGCAGAGCCGCCCGCUCCCUCCCCGGACCCGGCCCCACUCUGGC
rnacentral:lncRNA from 1 species